CUGCCAGUAGUCAUAUGCUUGUCUCAAAGAUUAAGCCAUGCAUGUCUCAGUACAAGCCAAANNAAGGURAACCGCNAAAGGCUCAUNAANUCAGUUAUGGUUCCUUANAUCGUACCCACAAUUNCNNGNAUAACUGUGGUAAUUCUAGAGCUAAUACAUGCAAACAGAGCUCCCACCGGAGACGGAAGGAGUGCUUUUAUUAGAUCAAAACCAAUCGGUGGCGAGUUCGCUCGUCAUCGUACAACUUGGUGACUCUGAAUAACUUUACGCUGAUCGCACGGUCUCGCACCGGCGACGCAUCUUUCAAAUGUCUGCCUUAUCAACUGUCGAUGGUAGGUUCUGCGCCUACCAUGGUUGUAACGGGUAACGGGGAAUCAGGGUUCGAUUCCGGAGAGGGAGCCUGAGAANCGGCUACCACAUCCAAGGAAGGCAGCAGGCGCGCAAAUUACCCACUCCCGGCACGGGGAGGUAGUGACGAAAAAUAACGAUACGGGACUGAUCCGAGGCCCCGUAAUCGGAAUGAGUACACUCUAAACCCUUUAACGAGGAUCAAUUGGAGGGCAAGUCUGGUGCCAGCAGCCGCGGUAAUUCCAGCUCCAAUAGCGUAUAUUAAAGU
rnacentral:rRNA from 1 species